rnacentral:lncRNA from 1 species
CUCAACUUUUCUGAAUCUCCCACUUGGCUGUGUCUCUGUACCUGCUAAAUCAACACAGUUCCUGGCAUACAGGUGCAUUUCAGUGCAUGCUGGUGAGACAGCGAAGGGCUUGAAACAGUCCACAAAAGUUGAUGCAGGAGAGCAGUACAAUCCUUUCUGGAGUGGGACUCAGAGAAAGAUCAUGCAUGUUGAAGUCAUUCCAGCAGCAGUCCAGGGGAGUUGGGGCAGGUAAGAUGGGAUAAGUGCACUCCAACCAUCAUUUCUGUUGGUCAUAACUCCAGGAGAGAAAGUUUAGAACAGCUAUUUGAGGACGGUGAAAAGAAAACAGCAGAAGGAAUAUUGGUGAAGAACACAGAAUUUGAAGUACAUCAAACCAGUAGCCCUGGGCAAACCCACACCUGUAGGGUCAGCAGUCAGUAACGGGACUGACAGGAGCCAAAACUGAGGCAGUGUAAACUUGUUCUUUUUUCAGAAGAACUGUGAUCCCACGGGCUCACUUCCAAGCCAUACAUGUUUGGAUCUGGUUUUAAUGAGGAUACCAAGACCUUUGAGAACUGAAGUAAUAGAGAGGUCAUCACCUGGUUCCUAGACUGGCUUCUGGGUGGUGCACACCUGAAAUGGAGACAAAAAGCAGUUUGAAAACUGAGUGGAUGUUGACAUCACAGCGCACAGAAGAAAUAAUGUCUCGCUAUGUUGCCCAGGCUGGACUUCAA